GAUGAACGCUGGCGGCGCGCCUAACACAUUGCAAGUCGAACGGCACCCCUCUCCGGAGGGAAGCGAGUGGCGAACGGCUGAGUAACACGUGGAGAACCUGCCCCCUCCCCCGGGAUAGCCGCCCGAAAGGACGGGUAAUACCGGAUACCCCGGGGUGCCGCAUGGCACCCCGGCUAAAGCCCCGACGGGAGGGGAUGGCUCCGCGGCCCAUCAGGUAGACGGCGGGGUGACGGCCCACCGUGCCGACAACGGGUAGCCGGGUUGAGAGACCGACCGGCCAGAUUGGGACUGAGACACGGCCCAGACUCCUACGGGAGGCAGCAGUGGGGAAUCUUGCGCAAUGGGGGGAACCCUGACGCAGCGACGCCGCGUGCGGGACGGAGGCCUUCGGGUCGUAAACCGCUUUCAGCAGGGAAGAGUCAAGACUGUACCUGCAGAAGAAGCCCCGGCUAACUACGUGCCAGCAGCCGCGGUAAUACGUAGGGGGCGAGCGUUAUCCGGAUUCAUUGGGCGUAAAGCGCGCGUAGGCGGCCCGGCAGGCCGGGGGGUCGGAAGCGGGGGGCUCAACCCCCCGAAGCCUCUGGAACCUCCGCGGCUUGGGUCCGGUAGGGGAGGGUGGAACACCCGGUGUAGCGGUGGAAUGCGCAGAUAUCGGGUGGAACACCGGUGGCGAAGGCGGCCCUCUGGGCCGAGACCGACGCUGAGGCGCGAAAGCUGGGGGAGCGAACAGGAUUAGAUACCCUGGUAGUCCCAGCCGUAAACGAUGGACGCUAGGUGUGGGGGGACGAUCCCCCCGUGCCGCAGCCAACGCAUUAAGCGUCCCGCCUGGGGAGUACGGCCGCAAGGCUAAAACUCAAAGGAAUUGACGGGGGCCCGCACAAGCAGCGGAGCAUGUGGCUUAAUUCGAAGCAACGCGAAGAACCUUACCAGGGCUUGACAUAUGGGUGAAGCGGGGGAGACCCCGUGGCCGAGAGGAGCCCAUACAGGUGGUGCAUGGCUGUCGUCAGCUCGUGUCGUGAGAUGUUGGGUUAAGUCCCGCAACGAGCGCAACCCCCGCCGCGUGUUGCCAUCGGGUGAUGCCGGGAACCCACGCGGGACCGCCGCCGUCAAGGCGGAGGAGGGCGGGGACGACGUCAAGUCAUCAUGCCCCUUAUGCCCUGGGCUGCACACGUGCUACAAUGGCCGGUACAGAGGGAUGCCACCCCGCGAGGGGGAGCGGAUCCCGGAAAGCCGGCCCCAGUUCGGAUUGGGGGCUGCAACCCGCCCCCAUGAAGUCGGAGUUGCUAGUAAUCGCGGAUCAGCAUGCCGCGGUGAAUGCGUUCCCGGGCCU
rnacentral:rRNA from 1 species